rnacentral:rRNA from 1 species
GACGAACGCUGGCGGCGUGCCUAAUACAUGCAAGUCGAGCGAAGUUUUUCUGGUGCUUGCACUAGAAAAACUUAGCGGCGAACGGGUGAGUAACACGUAAAGAACCUGCCUCAUAGACUGGGACAACUAUUGGAAACGAUAGCUAAUACCGGAUAACAGCAUUAACUGCAUGGUUGAUGUUUAAAAGUUGGUUAUGCUAACACUAUGAGAUGGCUUUGCGGUGCAUUAGCUAGUUGGUGGGGUAAAGGCCCACCAAGGCGACGAUGCAUAGCCGACCUGAGAGGGUGAUCGGCCACACUGGGACUGAGACACGGCCCAGACUCCUACGGGAGGCAGCAGUAGGGAAUCUUCCGCAAUGGGCGAAAGCCUGACGGAGCAACGCCGCGUGAGUGAAGAAGGAUUUCGGUUCGUAAAGCUCUGUUGUUAGGGAAGAAUGGAUAUGUAGUAACUAUACAUAUAAGAGACG